AGGAUGAACGCUGGCGGCGUGCUUAAUACAUGCAAGUCGAACGAAGAGUUUUUGUAGCAAUACAGAAACUUCUUAGUGGCGAACGGGUGCGUAACGCGUUGGUGACCUGCCCCAAAGUGUGGGAUAACAGUUCGAAAGGACUGCUAAUACCGCAUGUGGUGUUCCGGGUUAGAGGCCGGAAUACUAAAGCAGUAAUGCGCUUUGGGAGGGACCUGCGUCCCAUCAGCUAGUUGGUGAGGUAACGGCCCACCAAGGCUACGACGGGUAGGGGACCUGAGAGGGUGGUCCCCCACACUGGCACUGAAACACGGGCCAGACACCUACGGGUGGCAGCAGUAGGGAAUAUUGGGCAAUGGGCGAAAGCCUGACCCAGCAACGCCGCGUGUACGAUGAAGGUCUUCGGAUCGUAAAGUACUUUUCUGAGAGAUGAGAAAGGACAGUAUCUCAGGAAUAAGUCUCGGCUAACUACGUGCCAGCAGCCGCGGUAACACGUAGGAGGCAAGCGUUAUCCGGAUUUACUGGGCGUAAAGCGCGUGCAGGUGGUUCGGUAAGUUGGAUGUGAAAGCUCCUGGCUCAACUGGGAGAGGUCGUUCAAUACUACCGAACUUGAGAGCAGUAGAGGAAGGUGGAAUUCCCGGUGUAGUGGUGAAAUGCGUAGAUAUCGGGAGGAACACCAGUGGCGAAAGCGGCCUUCUGGACUGUUUCUGACACUCAGACGCGAAAGCUAGGGUAGCAAACGGGAUUAGAGACCCCGGUAGUCCUAGCUGUAAACGAUGUGAACUUGGCGUCGGCGGGUUCAAAGCCGUCGGUGCCGAAGCCAACGCGAUAAGUUCACCGCCUGGGGACUACGGCCGCAAGGUUAAA
rnacentral:rRNA from 1 species